rnacentral:rRNA from 2 species
GGGUUGUGAGGUUAAGCGACUAAGCGUACACGGUGGAUGCCCUGGCAGUCAGAGGCGAUGAAGGGCGUGCUAAUCUGCGAUAAGCGCCGGUAAGGUGAUAUGAACCGUUAUAACCGGCGAUACCCGAAUGGGGAAACCCAGUGUGACUCGUCACACUAUCAUUAACUGAAUCCAUAGGUUAAUGAGGCGAACCGGGGGAACUGAAACAUCUAAGUACCCCGAGGAAAAGAAAUCAACCGAGAUUCCCCCAGUAGCGGCGAGCGAACGGGGAGGAGCCC